rnacentral:rRNA from 1 species
AACGAACGCUGGCGGCAGGCUUAACACAUGCAAGUCGAACGCAUCCUUCGGGGUGAGUGGCAGACGGGUGAGUAACGCGUGGGAACGUGCCCUUCAGUUCGGGAUAACCCAGGGAAACUUGGGCUAAUACCGGAUACGUGCGAGAACAGAAAGAUUUAUCGCUGAAGGAUCGGCACGCGUCUGAUUAGCUAGUUGGUGAGGUAAUGGCUCACCAAGGCGACGAUCAGUAGCUGGUCUGAGAGGAUGAUCAGCCACACUGGGACAGAGACACGGCCCAAACUCCUACGGGAGGCAGGAGUGGGGAAUAUUGGACAAUGGGCGCACGCCUGAUCCAGCCAUGCCGCGUGAGUGAUGAAGGCCUUAGGGUUGUAAAGCUCUUUCGGCGGGGACGAUAAUGACGGUACCCGCAGAAGAAGCCCCGGCUAACUUCGUGCCAGCCGCCGCCGUAA